rnacentral:rRNA from 1 species
AUUGAACGCUGGCGGCAGGCCUAACACAUGCAAGUCGAACGGUAACAGGAAGACGCUUGCUUCUUUGCUGACGAGUGGCGGACGGGUGAGUAAUGUCUGGGAAACUGCCUGAUGGAGGGGGAUAACUACUGGAAACGGUAGCUACUACCGCAUAACGUCGCAAGACCAAAGGGGGGGGCCUUCGGGCCUCUUGCCAUCGGAUGUGCCCAGAUGGGUUUAGCUUGUAGGAGGGGUAACGGCUUACCUUGGCGACGAUCCCUAGCUGGUCUGAGAGGAUGACCAGCCACACUGGAACGGAGACACGGUCCAGACUCCUACGGGAGACAGCAGUGGGGAAUAUUGCACAAUGGGCGCAAGCCUGAUGCAGCCAUGCCGCGUGUAUGAAGAAGGCCUUCGGGUUGUAAAGUACUUUCAGCGGGGAGGAAGGGAGUAAAGUUAAUACCUUUGCUCAUUGACGUUACCCGCAGAAGAAGCACCGGCUAACUCCGUG